UACGAAGGGGGCUAGCGUUGCUCGGAAUCACUGGGCGUAAAGCGCACGUAGGCGGCUUUUUAAGUCAGGGGUGGAAUCCUGGAGCUCAACUCCAGAACUGCCUUUGAUACUGGGAAGCUUGAGUCCGGAAGAGGUGAGUGGAACUCCGAGUGUAGAGGUGAAAUUCGUAGAUAUUCGGAAGAACACCAGUGGCGAAGGCGGCUCACUGGUCCGGUACUGACGCUGAGGUGCGAAAGCGUGGGGAGCAAACAGG
rnacentral:rRNA from 1 species